rnacentral:rRNA from 1 species
AGAUUGAACGCUGGCGGCAGGCCUAACACAUGCAAGUCGAGCGGUAGAGAGGUGCUUGCAUCUCUUGAGAGCGGCGGACGGGUGAGUAAUGCCUAGGAAUCUGCCUAGUGGUGGGGGAUAACGUUCGGAAACGGACGCUAAUACCGCAUACGUCCUACGGGAGAAAGCGGGGGACCUUCGGGCCUCGCGCCAUUAGAUGAGCCUAGGUCGGAUCAGCUAGUGGUGAGUAAUGGCUCACCAAGGCGACGAUCCGUAACUGGUCUGAGAGGAUGAUCAGUCACACUGGAACUGACGACCCGGUCCAGACCUCCGUACGGGAGGCCAGCAGGUGGGGAAUAGUUGGACAAGUGGGACGAAAGCCUAGACUCCAAGCCAUGCCGUGUGUGUAGAAGAAGGUCUUCGGAUUGAAAGUCUACGUUUAAGUGGAGGUAAGGUUCGUAAACUUAAGUACGUUGACUAACGUUUGUACCGUUAACCAC